AACGAACGCUGGCGGCAGGCUUAACACAUGCAAGUCGAACGAUGUAGCAAUACAUAGUGGCGCACGGGUGAGUAACGCGUGGGAAUGUACCUUUUAGUGGGGGAUAACUCCGGGAAACUGGAGCUAAUACCGCAUACGCCCUUCGGGGGAAAGAUUUAUCGCUAAAAGAUAAGCCCGCGUGAGAUUAUGGUAGUUGGUGAGGUGAUGGCUCACCAAGCCGACGAUCUCUAGCUGGUCUGAGAGGACGACCAGCCACACUGGAACUGAGACACGGUCCAGACUCCUACGGAAGGCAGCAGUGGGGAAUAUUGGGCAAUGGAGGCAACUCUGACCCAGCCAUGCCGCGUGAGUGAUGAAGGCUCUAGGGUUGUAAAGCUCUUUCGCCGAUGAAGAUAAUGACGGUAGUCGGAGAAGAAGCCCCGGCUAACUUCGUGCCAGCCGCCGCGGUAA
rnacentral:rRNA from 1 species